rnacentral:rRNA from 1 species
GUUGAACGCUGGCGGCAGGCUUAACACAUGCAAGUCGAGCGGGGUGAUGGUGCUUGCACUAUCACUUAGCGGCGGACGGGUGAGUAAUGCUUAGGAAUCUGCCUAUUAGUGGGGGACAACAGCUCGAAAGGGAUGCUAAUACCGCAUACGUCCUACGGGAGAAAGCAGGGGAUCACUUGUGACCUUGCGCUAAUAGAGGAGCCUAAGUCGGAUUAGCUAGUUGGUGGGGUAAAGGCCUACCAAGGCGAGGAUCUGUAGCGGGUCUGAGAGGAUGAUCCGCCACACUGGGACUGAGACAGGGCCCAGCAUCCUACGGGAGGCAGCAGUGGGGAAUAUUGGACAAUGGGGGGAACCCUGAUCCAGCCAUGCCGCGUGUGUGAAGAAGGCCUUAUGGUUGUAAAGCACUUUAAGCGAGGAGGAGGCUCUUUUGGUUAAUACCCAAGAUGAGUGGACGUUACUCGCAGAAUAAGCACCGGCUAACUCUGUGCCAGCCGCCGCCGUAA